AUCCAUAUGACGAGUCCCAAGUAGGACAAAACGCACGUCCUGGAU
rnacentral:hammerhead_ribozyme from 1 species